rnacentral:rRNA from 1 species
UACGGGGGGAGCAAGCGUUGUUCGGAUUUACUGGGCGUAAAGGGCGCGUAGGCGGCCACCGCAAGUCGACUGUGAAAUCUCCGGGCUUAACCCGGAAAGGUCGGCCGAUACUGCGGGGCUAGAGUGCAGAAGGGGCAACUGGAAUUCUCGGUGUAGCGGUGAAAUGCGUAGAUAUCGAGAGGAACACCUGCGGCGAAGGCGGGUUGCUGGGCUGACACUGACGCUGAAGUGCGAAAGCUAGGGGAGCGAACGGG